GACGAACGCUGGCGGCGUGCUUAACACAUGCAGGUCGAACGGAAAGGCCUGCUUUCCCUUGUGGAUUGCGGGUGCUCGAGCGGCGAACGGGUGAGUAACACGUGAGUGAUCUGCCCCCAACUUGGGUAUAAGCCUGGGAAACUGGGUCUAAUUCCCGAUAGGACUGCAGGGUGGUGCCUGUGGUGGAAAACGAUUUUCUAGUGGUUGGGGAUGAGCUCGCGGCCUAUCAGCUUGUUGGUGGGGUAAUGGCCUACCAAGGCGGCGACGGGUAGCCGGCCUGAGAGGGUGGACGGCCACAUUGGGACUGAGAUACGGCCCAGACUCCUACGGGAGGCAGCAGUGGGGAAUAUUGCACAAUGGGCGGAAGCCUGAUGCAGCGACGCCGCGUGGGGGAUGACGGCCUUCGGGUUGUAAACUCCUUUCGACCGCGAGGAAGCCACCUGGUUGGAAGGGUGGUGACGGUAGUGGUAGAAGAAGCACCGGCUAACUACGUG
rnacentral:rRNA from 1 species